rfam:Glycine soja cultivar W05 scaffold224_1, whole genome shotgun sequence.
AUUUUAUUGGAUGAUGACUGUCAAGUGUCAUGUUCUGAUUGAUCAAUGAAAACAACAAUACAUUUCAUCUUUCAUGGAAUUGAUAUUCAAUCAGAACAUGACACGUGUCAGUCAAUAAAA